UACGUAGGGGGCAAGCGUUGUCCGGAAUCAUUGGGCGUAAAGAGCGUGUAGGCGGCCCGGUAAGUCUGUUGUGAAAGUCCAGGGCUCAACCCUGGAAAGCCGAUGGAUACUGCCGGGCUAGAGUUCGGAAGAGGCGAGUGGAAUUCCUGGUGUAGCGGUGAAAUGCGCAGAUAUCAGGAAGAACACCCGUGGCGAAGGCGGCUCUCUGGGACGGUACUGACGCUCAUGCACGAAAGCGUGGGGAGCAAACAGG
rnacentral:rRNA from 1 species